ACCAAUCGACAAUAUGAUUAAAAAUUUAAAUUUCUAAAAAUGCCACGUUCUCUGCGUUCGUUGGAUUUCAAUUACAAACAGGCCUUGGGAAAGAUGGCUGAGAUGCAUUUAACUAUUCUGGUAGUCCUGAUGUUGUCACCACUUGCAGAUUCACAGAAAUGUACAGACUAUGGCUCGGGCAAAACAUAUAAUACUGGAGAUAUAUUUGCCAAGGCAGCGGGUGGACCAUGUAUCAAAUACUUAUGUCAGAAAGGUUCACAUCUUGUACACACUACUGAGUGUCUUAACCCGAAUGAUUCCAAAUGCUAUCCUCUUGGUACAUCAAUUACUCAAGGUUGUAUGACUAUUACUUGUAUUGAAAUAGGUGGUGGAGUUCAGUUCAGAAUAACCAAACGAAAAUGUUGACGUAAAGAGGAUACCACCCAGUAACCAUCCAAAGUGUGGGUACAUCGAUCAUCAAUAUAAAGUUUUAAAAAAAGCAUUUAAUUAAUGAAAUAAAAUUAUGUGAAACAUG